UAUCCAUCAGCUCCAACUUCUUUUGAGCAAAUCAUGAAAUGACCCUGACUCUGCUAUUAUAUCUAGUGAGAUGCGUGAAGCCGUGCGGGAUGUUGCAAAUUAUUUCCCAACGGCAAUAAUUAGUGGAAGAUGCCAUGAUAAGAUGGAGACUUUGGCAAUGACCGUUGUAGAUGGGUAGCAAUACUGCUUGAUGUGUGGAC